rnacentral:rRNA from 1 species
UCAUGGCUCAGGAUGAACGCUAGCUACAGGCUUAACACAUGCAAGUCGAGGGGCAGCAUUAUCGAAGCUUGCUUUGAUAGAUGGCGACCGGCGCACGGGUGAGUAACGCGUAUCCAACCUUCCCAUCACUCAGGGAUAGCCCGCCGAAAGGCGAAUUAAUACCUGAUGGUCUCCUUCGCGGACAUCUAACGAGGAGUAAAGAUUUAUUGGUGAUGGAUGGGGAUGCGUCUGAUUAGGUAGUAGGCGGGUAACGGCCCACCUAGCCGACGAUCAGUAGGGGUUCUGAGAGGAAGGUCCCCCACAUUGGAACUGAGACACGGUCCAAACUCCUACGGGAGGCAGCAGUGAGGAAUAUUGGUCAAUGGACGGAAGUCUGAACCAGCCAAGUAGCCGUGCAGGAUGACGGCCCUAUGGGUUGUAAACUGCUUUUGUGCGGGAAUAAAGUUUGGGACGUGUCCCAUUUUGCAUGUACCGCACGAAUAAGGACCGGCUAAUUCCGUGCCAGCCGCGGC